AAAAAAAAAAAAAAAAAAAAAAAAAAAACACAAAACAAGGACAAAGACAAACAGAAAAGAAUCAAUUCAUACUUUUUGACUUUAUUUUUUGAAUUAUGUCC
rnacentral:ribozyme from 14 species